CCACGCGUCGCUCUCUCUCGCUGGACGUCAUCUCCCAGCCGAUCCCUCCCAUGGCUGCCUCUCCUCCAUCUCCCUCCCUCCCUGUGUGGUGUCCAGCCGAUGCUCUCUCCCAUGGACGCCCUCCCCCUCUUGCAGCAAGUCAGCAACCCCAUCUCCUCUGCCCUCCAUCCCCAGCUCGCCCCUCAACCAUGGAUACUGCCAGCCCUGGCACUCGCCCUCUGCACGCCAUUGCUCUCCUUCCUGCAGCAAGCCCCAUCUCUACUGGCGCUCUAAUUUUCAGUCAUCCCGCAUGGCCGGCGUCCUCCCCAUUUUCUACAGGUACGUUAAUUAAUCACGUGAUGUGGAGAAUAAGAGAUGGGUUGAUCACAAGAUGAUGCUAAUGGACGAAGCUAAAGAUGAUAAAUCAACCAAGUGCCAGGAUGGGAGGUGCUCGCCAAGCGAGUAUCAUCUAACAACACUGACGUAGUGUUUAUUCUAGGUACUAGAUUUGUGUUGCUAUGGAUGGUGUUAAGCACCGGUGGGCACGACCUUCUUAUAAGCCUAAGUACCUCUCCUAUACUUCUUAUUGAGGAUUAUCAUUGAG
rnacentral:misc_RNA from 1 species